UUCACUUGCACUGAAAAACAGAGUGGUAACGGUUGCACACUCUACACUAGUGCUCCCAAAAAUUUUAUAUCUAUAUACAUAUAUAUUUUAUAUUUUCUUCUUCAUUGAGCUUUUUCCUUUCUGGGUUUCCUUUUGGGGACCUGAAAAUUUUCUUCUGGGUUCAUUUCAAUCAAAAUGUUGUAAGGGUUUUGGGGACUCCAAUUUUCUUCUGGUUUCAUUUCAAUCAAAACUUUGUUGUCUGGGUUUUGGGUACCUAAAUCUGCCUCAUCGAGUUUUUUCCUUCCUGGGUUUCUUUUUGGGAACCUGAAAAUUUUAUUCUGGGUUUUCAUUUCAGGGUUUUAGGACUUUCAAUUUUCUUCUGGUUUCAUUUCAAUCAAAACGCCAUCGUUUGGGUUUUGGGUACCCAAAUCUUCUUCUGCUUAAUCUUUCAAUCUUCUGGUGAUUUUGUUUUUCGAAGAGAUGCUGUCGACGAAAUCUGAAUCAGAUAUCACAAGUUUAGCACCAUCAUCUCCAUCAAGGUCUCCAAAACGCGCCGUUUACUACGUGCAGAGC
rnacentral:lncRNA from 1 species